UACAUGGGGUGCAAACGUUGCUCGGAAUUAUUGGGCGUAAAGCGCGCGUAGGCGGUUAUUCAGGUCGGAUGUGAAAGCCCUCGGCUUAACUGAGGAAGUGCACCCGAAACUGAGUAGCUAGAGUACCAAAGAGGGUCGCGGAAUUCCCGGUGUAGAGGUGAAAUUCGUAGAUAUCGGGAGGAACACCAGUGGCGAAGGCGGAGACCUGGGCCGAUACUGACGCUGAGGUGCGAAAGCGUGGGGAGCAAACAGG
rnacentral:rRNA from 1 species